UACAGAGGGGGCAAGCGUUAUUCGGAAUUAUUGGGCGUAAAGCGCUCGCAGGCGGCUCGAUGCGUCGUGCGUGAAACACCCCGGCUCAACUGGGGAGGGUCGUGCGAUACGGUCGGGCUGGAGGCCAGUAGGGGGAUGCGGAAUUCCGGGUGUAGUGGUGGAAUGCGUAGAGAUCCGGAGGAACACCAGCGGCGAAGGCGGCAUCCUGGACUGGUACUGACGCUCAUGAGCGAAAGCGUGGGGAGCGAUCCGG
rnacentral:rRNA from 1 species